rnacentral:rRNA from 1 species
CGCUGGCGGCAGGCCUAACACAUGCAAGUCGAGCGGUAGAGAGAAGCUUGCUUCUCUUGAGAGCGGCGGACGGGUGAGUAAUGCCUAGGAAUCUGCCUGGUAGUGGGGGAUAACGUUCGGAAACGGACGCUAAUACCGCAUACGUCCUACGGGAGAAAGCAGGGGACCUUCGGGCCUUGCGCUAUCAGAUGAGCCUAGGUCGGAUUAGCUAGUUGGUGAGGUAAUGGCUCACCAAGGCGACGAUCCGUAACUGGUCUGAGAGGAUGAUCAGACACACUGGAACUGAGACACGGUCCAGACUCCUACGGGAGGCAGCAGUGGGGAAUAUUGGACAAUGGGCGAAAGCCUGAUCCAGCCAUGCCGCGUGUGUGAAGAAGGUCUUCGGAUUGUAAAGCACUUUAAGUUGGGAGGAAGGGUUGUAGAUUAAUACUCUGCAAUUUUGACGUUACCGACAGAAUAAGCACCGGCUAACUCUGUGCCAGCAGCCGCGGUAAUACAGAGGGUGCAAGCGUUAAUCGGAAUUACUGGGCGUAAAGCGCGCGUAGGUGGUUUGUUAAGUUGGAUGUGAAAUCCCCGGGCUCAACCUGGGAACUGCAUUCAAAACUGACUGACUAGAGUAUGGUAGAGGGUGGUGGAAUUUCCUGUGUAGCGGUGAAAUGCGUAGAUAUAGGAAGGAACACCAGUGGCGAAGGCGACCACCUGGACUAAUACUGACACUGAGGUGCGAAAGC